rnacentral:sRNA from 1 species
AGUUGGCGCCCAUGGAGCCAGAGCUGCUGGUUCGGAAGGUGUCUGCAUUGCAGGCCUGCGUCCGGGGCUUCUUGGUCCGACGCCAGUUCCAGAGCCUGCGAGCUGAGUAUGAGGCGAUUGUACGAGAGGUCGAGGGCGACCUGGGCACGCUUCAGUGGACCGAGGGCCGCAUUCCCAGGCCGCGAUUCCUCCCAGAGGUAGAACACACCUAGGAGAGAAGGGAAGGAGGGACUUGGGCAGGGUGGAACCCACCCUUCCCAGUGACAAGCUUUUCUCACUGGAAGAGGCAGUAGACUCACCUCCUCACACCCCACUCCUUAACCCUCACCAACUUGUCUGCUAGAUCAUGGUGCCCAGAUACUUGGAAGGGUUUAGCCCUGGGGCUCUCACAUCUCUCUUGUUUCUCAGAAGGCAAAAUCCCAUCAGACCUGGAAAGCAGGAGACAGGGUAGCAAAUCCAGAGCAGGGGCUGUGGAACCACUUCCCAUGUGAAGAGUCUGAGGGAGAGGCCACCUGGGAGGAGAUGGUGCUGAAGAAGUCAGGAGAGAGCUCAGCAAAUCAAGGAAGCCUCUGCAGAGAUCACAGCUCCUGGCUUCAGAUGAAGCAGAACAGGAAACCCAGCCAAGAGAAGACCAGAGACACGACAAGGAUGGAGAAUCCAGAAGCCACAGAUCAAAGACUGCCCCACAGCCAACCUCAGCUUCAAGAGCUUCAGUACCACCGCAGCCACUUGGCCAUGGAAUUGCUAUGGCUGCAACAGGCCAUCAGUAGCCGUAAGGAGUACCUACUUCUUAAACAAACACUGAGAUCCCCAGAGGCGGGCCCGAUCAGAGAGGAACCCCGCGUGUGCCUAGAACAUGGGGAACAGGCCUGUGAGAGGGACCAGUCACAACCAAGCGCACCACUGGAGGACCAGUCCUACAGAGACAGGACCACUGGAGAGCUAGAACAGGAGGAUGACUCCUGUCACAGGGUCAAAUCACCCCACAGAUCCCCAGGAAGUUUGGCCACUACACAAAAAAACAUUGCUGGGGCUAAGUGCAGAGAACCAUGCUACAGCAAGUCUGGACCACCGUCGUCUAUACCAUCAAACAGCCAGGCCUUGGGGGACAGGCUCACCAAAGGGCCAGACGAUGGAAGACAGACCUUUGGAGGGACCUGCCUGCUGCAGAUGAAAAUCCUGGAGGACCAGACCCCCAGAGGUUUAAAACCUAGGAACCAUUGUCCCAGGAAGUCCAGGACACAGCUGUCUGCACUCUAUGAGGACUCAAAUAUUAAGGAGAUGUCUCCCAGAAAACUAGACCACAAAGAGCCUGACUGCCGAACAGUCAGGACACAAGAGUUGGGCCUCUCAGAGGACCACAUCAUCUGGGAUGGUACCUUGGCGGGGCCAGAGCAUAGUGUCCUCGAUCUCUGGAGGACUAAACCACCCAAAGGCCAGGCCCCCACUGAUAGAAGCUCCAGAGAUGGAACCUCCAAUGAGCCUAGUCAUGAAGGACAGAAAAAGCAGAGGACUAUACCAUGGAGAUCAAAGUCACCUGAGAUUCUGUCUUCUACAGGGGCAGGCUGUACAGGAGAGGAACAGUGGAGGGGCAGGCCAUGGAAAACAGAACCACCUGGCUAGACCCUAGGAAGCCAGGAGAGGAUCAGGUUCCAAAGGGGAAUGCUAUGAAAGGGCAGUGAGACAAGACCUCAUCCUACCUCCCUGACCAGCUCUGGCUUCUGCUCCUGCCCCUGGCCAUUGGUGACUAGUGGGGCCAAGAGAAGCUGGAGCAGAGAGCUGGCAUGAGUAUAGGGAAGGAGGAAGGACACAUUUUCAAUCCUCUGCCUGUAGCUCAAUCCAAAUUUGUGGAUAAGGGGCCGGGUGCAGUGGCUCACACCUGUAAUCCCAGCACUUUGGGAGGCCAAGGUGAGUGGAUCACCUGAGGUCAGAAGUUUGAGACCAGCCUGACCAACAUGGUGAAAUGAAACCCCAUCUCAACUAAAAAUAUAAAAAUUAGCCAGGCGUGGUGGUGCAUGCCUGUAGUCCCAGUUACUCGGGAGGCUGAGACAGGAGAAUCGCUUGAACCCAGGAGAUGGAGAUUGCAGUA